rnacentral:lncRNA from 1 species
AGACGUUACGCACGAUAUUGCGUCCCAAUUGGUAACGUCAAAAUUUGCCGUUUUACGUCGGUAAUCGAGUAUACUUUGUUCGUUUUGUUUGUAAUCAUUUUUGAUCGAUAUGGAUACUUCAAAGUCUUGAAUAUGUAUGAAAUAUGUCCUACUGGUAGUUACGCAAGCAAAAAUAAACAAUACAAAAUAGGUAUUUGGUUGAGAAAAUAGUGCCUAUUAAUAGAAUAUUAUAUAAUGCGUUGGUCACCCUUUUAAAUUUAAGAAAAGAGGGAAGGGAGGAAGC